CCUACGGGCGGCUGCAGUGAGGAAUAUUGGUCAAUGGGCGCGAGCCUGAACCAGCCAAGUAGCGUGAGGGAUGAAGGUCUUCGGAUCGUAAACCUCUGUCAGCAGGGAAGAACGGUCACUGUGCUAAUCAGCAGUGAAUUGACGGUACCUGCAAAGGAAGCACCGGCUAACUCCGUGCCAGCAGCCGCGGUAAUACGGAGGGUGCGAGCGUUAAUCGGAAUUACUGGGCGUAAAGCGCUCGUAGGCGGUAUGUCAAGUCAAGGGUGAAAUCCCCGCGCUCAACGUGGGAACUGCCUUUGAAACUGGCAAACUGGAGUGUGUGAGAGGAUAGUGGAAUUCCAGGUGUAGGAGUGAAAUCCGUAGAUAUCUGGAGGAACAUCAGUGGCGAAGGCGACUAUCUGGCACAUAACUGACGCUGAGGCACGAAGGCCAGGGGAGCGAAAGGGAUUAGAUACCCGAGUAGUC
rnacentral:rRNA from 1 species